GCCAAAUUCUAUGUAAGUCACUGAUUUCAUUGCGCCGUGUCGUGAUUUGUAAUCAGUAGGUCCGCGGUUCGAGUCCGUGUGGGGGCACCA
rnacentral:tRNA from 1 species